GAUGAAGAACGCAGUGAAAUGCGAUAAGUAAUGUGAAUUGCAGAAUUCAGUGAAUCAUCGAAUCUUUGAACGCACAUUGCGCCCGCCAGUAUUCUGGCGGGCAUGCCUGUUCGAGCGUCAUUUCAACCAUCAAGCCCCCGGCUUGUGUUGGGGACCUGCGGCUGCCGCAGGCCCUGAAAAGCAGUGGCGGGCUCGCUGUCACACCGAGCGUAGUAGAUUUCAUCUCGCUCAGGGCGUGCUGCGGGUUCCGGCCGUUAAACCACCUUCAUAACCCAAGGUUGACCUCGGAUCAGGUAGGAAGACCCGCUGAACUUAAGCAUAUCAAUAAGGGAGGA
rnacentral:misc_RNA from 1 species